AAACCGAUGCAAACUCCGAAUACCGAUGAGUGAUAUCCGGGAGACACACAGUGGGUGCUAACGUCCAUUGUGGAGAGGGAAACAACCCAGACCGCCAGCUAAGGCCCCAAAUUCCUAGUUAAGUGGGAAACGAGGUGGGAAGGCAUAGACAGCUAGGAGGUUGGCUUAGAAGCAGCCAUCCUUUAAAGAAAGCGUAAUAGCUCACUAGUCGAGUCGGCCCGCGCGGAAGAUGUAACGGGGCUCAAACUAGGAGCCGAAGCUGCGGAUUUGAAUUUGUUUUCAAGUGGUAGGGGAGCGUUGUGUAAGCCUGUGAAGGUGUGUCGUAAGGCAUGCUGGAGGUAUCACAAGAGCGAAUGCUGACGUGAGUAACGAUAAUGCGAGUGAAAAGCUCGCACGCCGGAAGAUCAAGGGUUCCAGUCCAACGUUAAUCGGGGCUGGGUGAGUCGACCCCUAAGGCGAGGCCGAAAGGCGUAGUCGAUGGGAAAUCGGUUAAUAUUCCGAUACUUGUUUAUAAUGCGAUGGAGGGACGGAGAAGGUUAUGUCAGCCUGGCGUUGGUUGUCCAGGUGAAAGGAUGUAGGCUUACAGCUUAGGUAAAUCCGGGCUGUUACAUGGCUGAGAUCUGAUAGCAAGCUGUACUUGUACAGUGAAGUGGCAAAUACCAUGCUUCCAGGAAAAGCUUCUAAGCAAUAGUUAUAAACGAAUCGUACCCUAAACCGACACAGGUGAUCAGGUAGAGAAUACCAAGGCGCUUGAGAGAACUCUGCUGAAGGAACUAGGCAAAAUGGUACCGUAACUUCGGGAGAAGGUACGCUGCUGAUGGUGAUAGGACACGCUCCUUGAGCUGUUGGCAGUCGCAGAUACCAGGCUGCUGCAACUGUUUAUUAAAAACACAGCACUCUGCAAACACGAAAGUGGACGUAUAGGGUGUGAUGUCUGCCCGGUGCUGGAAGGUUAAUUGAUGGGGUUAGCGUAAGCGAAGCUCUUGAUCGAAGCCCCAGUAAACGGCGGCCGUAACUAUAACGGUCCUAAGGUAGCGAAAUUCCUUGUCGGGUAAGUUCCGACCUGCACGAAUGACAUAAUGAUGGCAGCGCUGUCUCCAGCAGAGACUCAGUGAAAUCGAAAUCGCAGUGAAGAUGCUGUGUACCCGCGGCUAGACGGAAAGACCCCGUGAACCUUUACUACAGCUUUACAUUGAACUUUGACCUGACUUGUGCAGGAUAGGUGGGAGGCUUUGAAGCCGAGACGCUAGUCUCGGUGGAGCCAAUCUUGAAAUACCACCCUGGUCAUGUUGGGGUUCUAACUCAGGUAUAACAAUACCGAGGACAAUGUAUGGUGGGUAGUUUGACUGGGGCGGUCUCCUCCUAAAGAGUAACGGAGGAGUACGAAGGUGCGCUCAGACCGGUCGGAAAUCGGUCGUAGAGUAUAAAGGCAAAAGCGCGCUUAACUGCGAGACCCACAAGUCGAGCAGGUACGAAAGUAGGUCUUAGUGAUCCGGUGGUUCUGUAUGGAAGGGCCAUCGCUCAACGGAUAAAAGGUACUCUGGGGAUAACAGGCUGAUACCGCCCAAGAGUUCAUAUCGACGGCGGUGUUUGGCACCUCGAUGUCGGCUCAUCUCAUCCUAGGGCUGAAGCAGGUCCUAAGGGUAUGGCUGUUCGCCAUUUAAAGAGGUACGCGAGCUGGGUUUAGAACGUCGUGAGACAGUUCGGUCCCUAUCUACCGUGGGCGUUGGAAAUUUGAGAGGAUCUGCUCCUAGUACGAGAGGACCAGAGUGGACGAACCUCUGGUGUUCGGGUUGUCACGCCAGUGGCAUUGCCCGGUAGCUACGUUCGGAUGGGAUAACCGCUGAAAGCAUCUAAGCGGGAAGC
rnacentral:rRNA from 1 species